UACAGAGGGUGCGAGCGUUGUUCGGAAUUACUGGGCGUAAAGCGCGCGCAGGCGGUCAUUUAAGUCUACCCGUGAAAUGCCGGAGCUCAACUCCGUGCACGCCGGGGGAUACUGGGGGACUGGAGACAUGUAGAGGCAAGCGGAAUUCCGGGUGUAGCGGUGGAAUGCGUAGAUAUCCGGAAGAACACCUGAGGCGAAGGCGGCUUGCUGGGCAUGAUCUGACGCUGAGGCGCGAAAGCGUGGGGAGCAAACAGG
rnacentral:rRNA from 1 species